CUUUAUAAUCCUUUUUACUCUGAAAUGUACAGAACUGUGCAAAAGUCUUAGGCAGGCAAAGAAAAUGAUGUUUAGAUUAUCCUCCUGUUGGUGUAAAACUAUGAUAUGAUGCCUGUCAAAGUGUGUCAGCUUCGCCAUUUCAGAACCUCUGCUAAAAUCAUCCUAGUAUUUGCAGCGAUCGUUCAGUGCAGCCAUGUAUUUUUUGACUUGGCCACUAGCAGACCUCAUACAGCUAGUCAAUCUCUCACUGACUUUUUAAACCAAUAUAUUUAAUUAUUUAAUUGAGCUGUUGGUGAAAUUUAACAAAAUCAGAACGGCUGAGGUGCCCCUGAGGAGAAGUUUGGGAACUGAAGCGGUGUUCAUCUAGCCAUCCAACUAGAUACCAGUAACUUUAUAGAAAACAGAGGAAAGUAAUACUAGUUUUUAUUGUGUUACUCUUAAUUUGCACAUGUUCUAAUGUUAAAUUGUGUUUUUUGUUCUAAGCCAAAGUACACUUGCUAUCCAGAUAAACAGCUUUAAACAUUUCUUUGGACUGCCUAAGACUUUUGCACAGUGCUGUAUAUAUAUAUACAUGGACAGUUAUACAGUUGUACAGAGAACAUGCUUGAGCGAUUAUGACGACCAUUUUGCAUGUAAUGACUUAUACAAUGAACUAACACCAGAUGUUUUGGGGGGUCGGACUUUUCAACAGAGAACCAGUAUAAUAUAUUUUGACCAACAUGUCAUGAACAUGUAGGAAUCAGCAGAUGAAUGUACAUAAUUAUUCACACGACUGUGCCAAAGCAUUUGCAAUUUGACCAAAAGAAUGAGACUUUGCAUGUAUGAUGUGCAAAAGGGACUCGAUGAUGUGGAGGUUGUGCAAGUAGUUAUGAGAAUUUCAUUUCUGAUCUGAGAAAUGUACCAAAGUGACCGAGAAAACCUGUAAUAUUGCUCUGCUGUACACUAGAGUAAAUGCAUGCGCUGGACUAUUCACAGUCCCAUAGAAGAAGCUAAAUCACAUUUCCUCAGGUGGAAUUACAUCAAAUAAAAUACUCUAUUAUUUUAGAAAUCUGCUGCAUGGCCACAAUUCUGAGUCACAUCAGCCGCCUGUCAGCUAUGAGAGAUGAAUCUCUCCUAUAAUCAGCUCUCACUGUACUGUACAGAUCUGUGUGGACCACAGGCUUUAAAAUGUUCAUGUGCUAAGGUCUCUCAAACAGAAUUUCUGAAAAUACUGUUCCAUCCAUAAAGUUUUUUGCAAUUAACUUAUCUUUAUAAUUUGCAUAAUUUAAAGCCUGACAGGCCUGCAGUAGUUGCUGGGGAUGUUCACAUCUCCUCCUUUCAGAGUUACUAGUCAGGGAGGGCUUUCCCGAAGGCGAUCAGUCUUAGCGAAUAAUGAACAAAAUAACAAACAAUGUAAGUAAAGAAUGAGUGUGGUCUAUGUGUGUUUCCCAAAAGCCUUCAUUAUUCCAGAAUUAACAGACAAACUUUAAGUAGGACUUUGUUGGCUCUUCCCAGCCUCCACGUGAGAAAAGCACAAACUGUCAAUAAGAGGAAAAUCGAUUGUCAAUGGCAAAAUGAGUCAAAUCAUUGCUACAUGACGCAUGUAAACAUGAACAAUAUAACAUAUAAUCCAAAUCUAAACGUCUGAAAACGCACAGACGGAAUAACAAAUUAAAUUAUCAGUUACCAAUAGGUUGAAAACGUGAUGGGGCUCUUUGUACAAAGAAACCAUGGACAGCAGCCAGAGAAAGAGGAAACAUCAGCUCUGCAAGGCGGCGAUACAACUAAUGGAGGAGGUGGGGGAACAAUGGAGGGAAAUCACUGCCAGGAUGAAAGGCUACUGUGGCCAGCAGUGAUCUGGGACUGAAGUCUGCAGGAAAUGGCAGGACUUCUCCAGCCUCGCAAAGUGAUAACUGGGGAUAAAUGGGGAUUGGGGAUCAUGCUGACUGGGCAGGGGGUCAGGAGCUGCGUCACACACACAGGACAACACAGAGGGAGCUGCAAGCACUCGGGAAAGGAAAGGGUCAUUUUUCAUAGAGACAAUUCCUCACUACGGCUUGUGGGGACUGACCGGCUUCAUAUACAGUCAGAGGAUGAGGGACCCGGUCACAGCGAUGGCUGGCAGCUCUUAGCCCUCCAGACGCGUCGAUUGGUACACAGGGCGGUUGUUGUGCCAGGCAAUGCAGUUGAUUGCAGUUCUGCCUUUGCAGCACAAGACGAAUUUCAUCAGUGAAAUCAUUCAUUGUAUUUAUAUUGCCAACAGGUAUGGAAUGUACUGUGAGACCUUUUGGACUGGGUGAAUGUUAAAUGGGACAAAGGCUCUCGGGAAAUGAUCCUGUGAUGGCUGCCUCUACAGCCACACAGUUAAGUUGAAGGGAGGUAUCAUUUCAUGGUUUUUAUGUUUGUUUAGUUUAAGUUGUAGCAUAUUGAUAAUUAAUAUUUAAUUAAUUGAUUAAUUAAUUAAUUAAAUAUUUAAUUCUUUUGUUUCCUUAUUUAACACAUUUACCCAGUUUGCUGGAUGAAGCGCGCACAUUUAGUUAACUGUGGAAUAAUGUGUUUUGAGUUUAAUUGUGUGUUUCUUUUGAUUUACCGUGCAGAGUACUGAAGGGAUUCCCGGCUGUUCCAGGCAAAGAGGUGGCCAAUAUGGGAGCUGGGCUAAAUACAGGAAAUUGGACAACUCCAACUGGUUGUUUGUUGGGGGUAGAAUAGUUUGGUAUUUAGUUUUAUUUUAUUGUUUAGGUAUGUUUUUGGAGUUAAUUUGAUUUUGUUUAUUUUGAUUGAAGCAUUAGUUGAUUGUUCUGUUUUGAUUUAUUUGUGGUAUUUGUCAUUGUUACUUUUUUCUUUUGUAUCUUGUGGUUUGGCCAACCAGUAUAUAUAGUCCUUAUGGUGUCUUGUUUGGGGAAAAUCAGCUUGUUGGUUUAGUUGUAUUGUUAGCUGUGGUGUGAUAAGUUGAUUUUUUUUGUGGGCCCAGGUUGUUUUUUUUUUGUUAAAUCGUUUUCUUUUUGUAAAUUAAAAAGAAUUAAAAAUUUUUUUUUCUAAUUUAGCUGUGUGCCUCAUGCCUGCCAUCUUGGUCCCUCACACAGACACUGAGGCUGAAUUUAAGUUGGUCACAAAUGUAUUUUUCUUCUGCAGCUAGAAGCGUCGUCUGAGCCUGAUUUUAACUGGCAUGUCGGUGUGGGAUUCUUAUAGUAGAAGUUAUGUGAAUUGUGGUACUCUGAAAUUAAGUGAUAUGUGUAUUAGAAUCGUGAAGUGUCAUCUUCCUUUUGUUUUAGCUUCCCCCUAGGCAUUUUUAUGAACUGUAUUGUAAUAUCAGACAGUGUGUCAUGAAUUUCUGAAGGGAUGUUAUAUAUAUGACCGUUUCUUGGAUACGUCUCUUGUACAGUAGUUGCAGUUUGUCAGGCCUAAUGUGACAUGGUGAACAAGUCCUGUGAUUAAAGCAUGUCUGCUGCUUAAAA